rnacentral:lncRNA from 1 species
AAUCUUAUUCUCAUUUUAUUAGGUAAAACUUUUGGAAGAAUAUUUUGUUGAACUUAGGAGACUACUGGUUUGCACAAACUCUAAAACCAAGACUAUUAUAAAUACUAGAAACCUAAAGAAGAAAUUCCUUCUGGACUCCCUCAUAGGAGUGAUGGGCAAAUGUGUUGAUUUAUGCCUUCCUUCUGUUCUGUGACUAGAAAGUUUAUAUAAUCGCUUGCACAUCUGAAUCCAUGGCCUCGACCCAUUGACAAGCACAUUUGGCUCAGAAUAAACUGUAUAUUACUCUCUUUGGAGCAAGAGCUGUGCUUUUCUUCAACACAUGAGACCAGAAUUGCUGAGCUGUAAACGCUGUAACAGUAUCUUCUUUUCAGAGCAACAAUCAAGCAUUUAAAAUGGAAUCAGUACAUUUAAAGCAUUCAUUCUUCUGUUCUUUCUGAGAAUUUGCAAGGAGAAACCUGUCUACUCUCUCAGCUUACGGAAUAGCUAUCAACCCAAAGUUAAAGGCCCUCCUCUUCUUUAAAAACUCUAACCUUUGCAUUCAGAGCUCAAGACAUGGUCUAAUCUCCCCUCCCCUCUCCAGGUUUAGAGGAACCUGCUCUGGACACAGCAGCCAUCUACAAAAUGUCAGGAAGAACUCAAAGGAGAAAGAGAAAGAAGACACUGAACUGAACUGUACUAACUAGUGAGAGCUGCAGUUCUGGACAGGAACCUCCUCUGUGCUGCCUUACUUGCAAGAUGGAAGUUGAAUCAAAACGGGGCAAAUAGUGUGCAAAAACACAUGCUCCUUGGGUCCACGGAGAAAAAACACUACUCCAUGCAGACUUUGCCCAGCCUGUAUCUGACGUAUUCCACAUCACGUCAGAGGCUAUCAAAUCCAGCCAGAACCUGGAAUACAAAUAGCACCGUCUUAUAAAUUUGUUGAAUUGGUAGGAAUUACAUGCAUAUAAAUGUGUAUAAAGUUUAAAUAUAUAAAUUUACAAAAGUG